rnacentral:rRNA from 1 species
UACGUAGGGUGCAAGCGUUGUCCGGAAUUAUUGGGCGUAAAGAGCUUGUAGGCGGUUUGUCGCGUCUGCUGUGAAAUUUCGGGGCUCAACCCCGAACUUGCAGUGGGUACGGGCAGACUAGAGUGUGGUAGGGGAGACUGGAAUUCCUGGUGUAGCGGUGAAAUGCGCAGAUAUCAGGAGGAACACCGAUGGCGAAGGCAGGUCUCUGGGCCAUAACUGACGCUGAGAAGCGAAAGCAUGGGGAGCGAAUGGG